UACGAAGGGGGCUAGCGUUGCUCGGAAUCACUGGGCGUAAAGCGCACGUAGGCGGGUUGUUAAGUCAGGGGUGAAAUCCUGGAGCUCAACUCCAGAACUGCCUUUGAUACUGGCGAUCUCGAGACCGGAAGAGGUAAGUGGAACUGCGAGUGUAGAGGUGAAAUUCGUAGAUAUUCGCAAGAACACCAGUGGCGAAGGCGGCUUACUGGUCCGGUUCUGACGCUGAGGCGCGAAAGCGUGGGGAGCAAACAGG
rnacentral:rRNA from 1 species